rnacentral:misc_RNA from 1 species
CCGGGAGGUCGCGAGACCCCUGAAACCACCGUGAACCUAGUCUCUUAUGCCUUGGCGGGAUGCCCCCGGCGGCCCCUCUUGGGGGGCACCCGGGAGGGUGCACCUUCCCGCCAAACCUUCAAACCAUUAUUCGUUGUUCGAGUCCUCUGAGUACAAAGCUCCAAAGCGAGAGAAAUAAAUCA